GUAGGUGGCAAGCGUUGUCCGGGAAUUAUUGGGGCGUAAAGCGCGCGCAGGCGGUUCUUUAAGUCUGAUGUGAAAGCCCACGGGCUCAACCGUGGAGGGUCAUUGGAAACUGGAGAACUUGAGUACAGAAGAGGAAAGCGGAAUUCCACGUGUAGCGGUGAAAUGCGUAGAGAUGUGGAGGAACACCAGUGGCGAAGGCGGCUUUCUGGUCUGUAACUGACGCUGAGGCGCGAAAGCGUGGGGAGCAAACAGGAUUAGAUACCCUGGUAGUCCACGCAGUAAACGAUGAGUGCUAAGUGUUAGGGGGUUUCCGCCCCUUAGUGCUGCAGCUAACGCAUUAAGCACUCCGCCUGGGGAGUACGGCCGCAAAGGCUG
rnacentral:rRNA from 1 species